rnacentral:rRNA from 1 species
AGCGAACGCUGGCGGCAGGCCUAACACAUGCAAGUCGAACGGAUCCUUCGGGAUUAGUGGCGGACGGGUGAGUAACACGUGGGAACGUGCCCUUUGGUUCGGAACAACUCAGGGAAACUUGAGCUAAUACCGGAUGUGCCCUUCGGGGGGAAAGAUUUAUCGCCAUUGGAGCGGCCCGCGUCUGAUUAGCUUGUUGGUGAGGUAACGGCCCACCAAGGCGACGAUCAGUAGCUGGUCUGAGAGGAUGAUCAGCCACACUGGGACUGAGACACGGCCCAGACUCCUACGGGAGGCAGCAGUGGGGGAUCUUGCGCCAUGGGGGAAAGCCUGACGCAGCCAUGCCGCGUGAAUGAUGAAGGUCUUAGGAUUGUAAAAUUCUUUCAGCGGGGACGAUAAUGACGGUACCCGCAGAAGAAGCUCCGGCUAACUUCGUG